rnacentral:lncRNA from 1 species
GUUUUCUCCUCCUCCCUCUUCUUCUUCCCUUGGUCUCCCUUCCCCUUCCUCUUUCUUCUCUUUUCCUUUUUUCUACCUCUUCCUCCUCCUUUUUCUUUUCUGUUGCAGAAAACGCAGAUACAUUCUCACUGAACUGCCCUGGGAACUCCUUGGAAGCAGGUGAAAGACAUUCAACAAUGAAGCAGGGCUUCAAGUGGCCGUGGCAGCUCCUCUACACCAUCUUUAUGGCUCUGUUGAAAAGCUUUUGCUCUUGGGUGCCAGGGAACGGAUCUGUCAACCCUUCCAGGGCCCUCGCAUCCAUAUGAGCCUGUGAGUGCCAUGAAGCACAGAAGAGUUCACUCUCGUGCAAAUAGCUGAAGACCUCUUGAGGAGUUAAAGAUUCAAGUUUUCAAUAUUAUCGUGCUGCCAUUAAAACCCCUGACUAUGAGUUUUGUUGCUGUGAGUUUUCAUUUAGAACUAUUGUGUAAUUAGCAGCAUCUUGGUAUACUUCAGCUCUGGAGGGUGAGAACAUUGAAACCAUCAGUCUUGCUCUAUUCAUCCAUCAUGUACAUCUGUGUACAAGAAAGAACUAUACUAUACUCUACAGUACAAAUGUUCUCAGGAAAAAAAUAAAGUGCUCAACAAG